UUCUUCUGCGAAUUUCGCUGUUAUAAUCCAACACCAUUAAUACAGUUUUUCUCUCCCUUGUUUUCAACGAUUAUGCUAUUGCAUUGCUGAUCCGAGUGUUAUUCUUUCUCUAAAAUUCUCCCUCUUUCUCUCUCCUGAUCUUUACCAUUGAAUUACAGCAGUAUAACCGGUGAGUUUUAAUUCUUCUAUUUAUUCGCCAGAAUCCUUUAUUCUCAUUUUUAAUUUUACUGUUUAGGGUUUCAAUUUGUUCUAUUCUUAAUCAGUUACUUAUAUGUAUUUUGAACUUUUUAGCUUUGUUUCCUGAGUUAUUAUUUUCUUAAUAAAAGACUGUAAAUUGUAUUUGUUUGCUCUUUCGUUUAUGAUUUGAGUUUUGUGGAAUAUGUAUGGUUUGGAUUGAAAUUUUCCGUCUUUAAUUGUGUUUAUGUUAAGUUGAUAGAGGAAUAAAGUUUAUAAAAUUAAAUCAUUUAUCUUAUGGGGAUUAUCUGAGGCAUGUUAAGAUAGCUGUUAGCUUAAUUAGUUUCUGGUUGGGAUGAAUUACGUUACUAUCAUAAUCUGUGUGUUGAUUGGUAUGUUUGUGUAUCUCUUACCACAUAUGAUAUGACUUUCGUUUAGAUUUGCAUUGUCAUAUGUCGACAUUCUAUAAGUUAAUCUGAAUUUGGCAAUUAUAUUAGUUUAAUUUAAUAAAUAAUUAUUCUGCCAUUAGACGGAACUUAAUUUCAACAGUUUUGGGAGUGGGAUGGCAGCUCUAUGAGUUGAAUUUGAG
rnacentral:lncRNA from 1 species